CAUAGCAAAACAGAGAUUGUCUUUUUUCUUAACUAAAGCAAACUUGAAACCUUAAAGAGUCCACAAACUAAAAAUGAAGAAACAAACAACCAAAAGGAACCCACCAAACCCUAUCUUUUUGUAUAGAGAUUCUGUGGAUUAGGACAAGCUCCCUAACCACCAUCAAUAGAGACAAUUGAACCCAAACCCAAAACCCAAGCCAACCAACCCAAAAGUUCUACACUACUUAUAGAACCCUUCUAAUUUCUCUAGCAAAAACCAAAACUUGAUCAGCACGCAGCUUUGUCCUCAGGCUUCACAUCCUUAUCAGCUGAUGCUCCUCCAGCGACGGCCGAUUCGUUCUGUUCCGGCAGCCUAGCCUCGCCGUUGAUCUUCUGCUCGACUUCUCCAGCUGCUGCUGCUGCUGCUGAUGUCCUUGUUGGAUCUUGUUCCUUCCCCAUCAUUGCAUUUUCCAGAACCUGGAGAAAACAAACAGGGUAAGAGAGUACUGCAACGGCGAAUGAAACCCGAGAUUCAGAAGGAAGAAGCUUCGACACUAACCUGCUUCUGCAUCUUUUGCUUGGCCCUCUUCU
rnacentral:lncRNA from 1 species